GACGAACGCUGGCGGCGUGCUUAACACAUGCAAGUCGAACGGAAAGGCCCUGCUUUUGUGGGGUGCUCGAGUGGCGAACGGGUGAGUAACACGUGAGUAACCUGCCCUUGACUUUGGGAUAACUUCAGGAAACUGGGGCUAAUACCGGAUAGGAGCUCCUGCUGCAUGGUGGGGGUUGGAAAGUUUCGGCGGUUGGGGAUGGACUCGCGGCUUAUCAGCUUGUUGGUGGGGUAGUGGCUUACCAAGGCUUUGACGGGUAGCCGGCCUGAGAGGGUGACCGGCCACAUUGGGACUGAGAGCCGGCCCAGACUCCUGCGGGAGGCAGCAGUGGGGAAUAGUGCACAAUGGGCGGAAGCCUGAUGCAGCAACGCCGCGUGCGGGAUGACGGCCUUCGGGUUGUAAACCGCUUUCGCCUGUGACGAAGCGUGAGUGACGGUAAUGGGUAAAGAAGCACCGGCUAACUACGUG
rnacentral:rRNA from 1 species